AUGGAAAAAAAAAGAGUUCAAAAGAGAGAAGAUGGUGAAGGCCAAGGGAAGAAAGAAGAAGGAAGAAGAAGAUGGAGACUCAAAUCAGGCCUAAGGAAUAAAUCUCCUAACUGGACGAUAAAAGACAAAUCUCCUAACUAUUUUUGUACAUUUGUUUUUAAAUACACACAAUAUAUAUAAUAAUAAUUAAGCGAUACAUAUAUAUACACAUACUAAUCACUGCAGUCGUGGAAAUAGUUCGUUUUCACAAACAGGUAUUAUGACAAUUGGAAUAAGUACAUUCUAAAAAAUGAAUAUUUGAUUGUAUAGGUUUAUAAAUAGACAUAUAUUUCAUACACACAUGUUAAAAACUCAAGCUUUUGUGUAAAUUUUAAACUAAAACUUUUGAUCUAUGGAGAUGCAAAAUUUGUUUAUUACUCUUGAAUGCAAAUUUAGCAGCUUCCACCUCCAACUCCAUUCCACAACACAAAAUCUUUUUUAAAAUAAAUGUUGCAAGUUGCAACCAUGCUAUGUUUUUUAGCACAGUUUGCAUUUGUGAGAAGGAGAUUCUCAACCGCGGGACUGGAGAACGAAUAGAGAUGUCAAAUGGGCGGGUUAUGCUUAUUUGAGUGUGUCCAUAUAGAUGUGUCUUUUUGGUGGACAGUUUUGAUCGACACCCAAAUAAAAUCAUGUCCAAAUAAGACCAUAUCCAAAAAAUAUCAUGAUCAGUUGGGCUGUUCAUGGGGUCCAGAAGCCUAUUGAAUAUAAAUAACCUAAUUUUUAUGGUAAAAGAUGAAAAUAUACUAAAUUUAGUAUAUAUUAUAGACUUAAACUUUAUUAUUUUUCAAUUUAAAUUUUUGACGAGAAAAUUUGAUUUUGAUGAAAAAUAUGACUUUCAGUUUCAGAAAAACAUGAUUUUGCGGUUUUGACCAAGAAAAUGUAAUUUUAACGAAAAAUUGCGAUUUUGCAGUUUUGGCAGAAAAACAUGAUUUUAUGGUUUUGAUGGAGAAAAUGCAAUUUUUACAGGAAAAUAUGAUUUUUUCGGUUUUGGUGAAAACUCGAUUUUAUGAUUUUGGUAAAACAAAUUAAAACUGUAAUUUUUUUUCUUAAUUUUUUAAACCUAGAUAUUUUAGCUAUUUGGGCUGCCCAAUGUCCAAAUGGUUUUGCCAGGUUUUGUCCAUGAGUCCAAUUAGACUUACCCAUUUAAACCUAUUUAAAUUUGGUGGAAUCUGGAUGUGUCCAUAUUAACCCAUAAUAAUUUGGACACCCCCAUAGACAACCCGCCCGACAUCCCUAACCAUGAGUGCGAAAACAUAUAGGACAAGGCACUCAUCAUAAAUGUACGUAGGUCAGAAAAAGAUGUUAUCAAGGGUAAGUCGAGACUUUGAGUUGUCUUAUACAAAUGGUGGAUGAACACACCACUAAAUGGUGGGUGAACACACCACUAAAUGGUCAAGGAGGUUCUUGUAAGUUGUGUUGGAUAUUAACAUCGCUCAAGUUGUAAAAGCAGAUACGCGAUGACCUGUGAACUACUCUGUCUACUACCAAGGAGAAAUGAACCAUCAUAUCGAGUUGGAAUUUGAAAUCCAGGUGGCUCAUAUCAUAUGGUGUAACGUUUCAAUAGCCACAGUUUGCGGGAGUUUUUUUAUGUCCGUUUUUUGGUCGGUGGGGUUAUUACAUUUUCGGUUUUGAUAGGUCUAACCCUGUUUGUGUCAUCAUUUGUUACUAUAGUGGACAAAUCUAUACUAUUAUUUGCGAAGUAAAUUUUUGCAACAGAGCUCUCACGUUAAAAGUUAAAGUGGUUAAUAUCGUUUAUACCCUUAAUGAAUAAAAUCUAUAAAUUAACUAAAAUAUAAAAACGAAUUUAAAAUUAUUUGGUUAGAUAAGUUAUUAUUAAUAAUAAAAAAAUUUAUCCAAAAUCUGAAAGAUAUAUUUUAAAAUAAAAGAUAAUUCCUAUAUAUUUUGUGUUGUUAUCCGAAAACAUAUUUUAACAAAUAAUUUAAAUACUAAAAAUUUAAACCUAAAAACGCACAGAAAACAUAUAACUUAAUAUUAUUCAAAAAAUACUAAUCAUAUUUUAUACUCAAUUUUAAAUUUCAAUAAAUAAUUUUAGAUAAUUUUUUAUUAUAUGUCAAUAUAUAAAACAAUUAGUUGAGGGGUUUUAACCUUCAAAUCCCAUAAAUAUUCUAUCUUUUACUAUAUUAUAUUAAAAUAAAUAUAAAUUCAUGUAUAUAGUUUUAUGUAUAUUUUUUUGUAUAUAUAAAUGUUUUGAGGAUUAUUUUACAUAAUAAUAGAUAUUUUAUUAAAAUAAAAAACUUUAGCGUAUAUAGAAAAAUUAAUAUUAAAUUAAUUAUUAAAUAUUUAAAAAGCAUGAAAAUAACUUAUUCAAAUUUUUUUGAAUUGAUAAUAUAUUUCUUUACAAAAUUUUAUAAAAUUAUUAAGCCCGCAAGUGCAGGCAAAAUACCUAGUUUAUCUUAAUUACUCAGAUAUUCUCUAUUUAAGUUUUGAAUGAUAAAAACAAGGCAUUUGUAACAAA